GAUGAAGACGCAGCGAACUGCGAUAAGUAAUGUGAAUUGCAGAAUUCAGUGAAUCAUCGAGUCUUUGAACGCACAUUGCGCCCCCUGGCAUUCCGGGGGGCAUGCCUGUCCGAGCGUCAUUGCUGCCCUUCAAGCCCGGCUUGUGUGUUGGGUCGUCGUCCCCCCCGGGGGACGGGCCCGAAAGGCAGCGGCGGCACCGCGUCCGGUCCUCGAGCGUAUGGGGCUUUGUCACCCGCUCGAUUAGGGCCGGCCGGGCGCCAGCCGGCGUCUCCAACCUUCUAUUUUACCAGGUUGACCUCGGAUCAGGUAGGGAUACCCGCUGAACUUAAGCAUAUCAAUAAGCGGAGGA
rnacentral:misc_RNA from 1 species